rnacentral:rRNA from 1 species
GAUGAACGCUGGCGGCGUGCCUAAUACAUGCAAGUCGAGCGAACAGACGAGGAGCUUGCUCCUCUGACGUUAGCGGCGGACGGGUGAGUAACACGUGGAUAACCUACCUCUAAGACUGGGAUAACUUCGGGAAACCGGAGCUAAUAACGGAUAACAUGUUGAACCGCAUGGUUCAACAGUGAAAGACGGUUUUGCUGUCACUUAUAGAUGGCUCCGCGUCGCAUUAGCUAGUUGGUAAGGUAACGGCUUACCAAGGCAACGAUGCGUAGCCGACCUGAGCGGGUGAUCGGCCACACUGGAACUGAGACACGGUCCAGACUCCUACGGGAGGCAGCAGUAGGGAAUCUUCCGCGAUGGGCGAAAGCCUGACGGAGGAACGCCGCGUGAGGGAAGAAGGUCUUCGGAUGGUAAAACUCUGUUAUUAGGGAAGAACAAAUGUGUAAGUAACUAUGCACGUCUUGACGGUACCGAAUCAGAAAGCCACGGCUAACUACGUG